AUGGGGAACAAGGCAGGGAGGGGAGAGAGGCCCGGGCGGUGUGUAUGCGCCUUUGUUUAAUUACACUGUUUAACACACUGAGAAUAAUUUAGCCAUCCAAGUGGAGAAAAUAAGGGACUUAACCGUUCCCUGGUGGCAACGCUCCACGGCUCACCGUCGGCUGUUUCUGCCUCCUCGGAGUCUCUCACGCACCUUCGGGAUUUCUCUCUGACCGCGGGGAAGGAAGUGUUUGCGGGAGGAACGUUGAGUUUGGACACUCACCCACCUCGAGUUCAAGGGACAGAGAGGCUGCUCCGUGAGAGAUGGAGUCUCUGGUGCGCGACUGAGGAAUGGACCGUCUUCCGGAGACCCAAGGGAGAAGCCGACGUCGGAUCGGCCUCAAGUGACUGGCGGAAGCCAAUGGUUUUUUCUGCCAGCACAGAGUGGUCAAAGCCAGACUCUUUUUGGAUUUCCCAGCAUCUUUAAAAACAACAUCUGCAGAG
rnacentral:lncRNA from 1 species